rnacentral:misc_RNA from 1 species
GUGAGUCAUCGAAUCUUUGAACGCACCUUGCGCCCCUUGGUAUUCCGAGGGGCAUGCCUGUUUGAGUGUCUUGAAAUCAUCAAGCCCCUCGGCGCUCGUCGCCGGAGGGCUUGGACUUGGGGGUCUUGCUGACGCUUCGGCGCCGGCUCCCCUUAAAUGAAUCGGUCGGGCUUUCGUGUGGCUUGUCCCUUGGCGUUGUAUCAACCUCGUCGCUGGAUGGCUCGCGAGCUUAGCGCCCCUCCUCGACCUGCCUAUGGAGCGGCGGUCAAAGGCGCUUUGCCACUUUGUGAUCUGACCUCA